GGGGGGGGGGGGAUUGAGAGGGAACCUUCCUUCCACUGGAAGCAAAAGCCUACGCCACUUUAUUCCACACUUUAUCUCUCUCCAUAAAGGAGGGCCUCACGUCCGGUCCGAGACGAGGAGGAGAUUGAGAAGAGACUUAGGAAGAAGAAGAGGAGGAGGAGAAACUGAGCGAAGAUGUACGCGCCGAGCUCGCAGGAGAUGUCGUACUACGAGCACAUCCAGAGGCGCCACGAGGAGAAGGGCUGCAUCUAUGCCUUCUUGUUCGCACUGUGCUGCUGCUUCUGCUGCUUCGAGACCUGCGAGUGCUGCCUAGACUGCCUCUGCUGCUGCUGCCAGUAACCAUGUAGAAACAAAGCAAAAAAACGUAAUUACCAGAAUGCCUUCUAUCUAUCUUGCAUUUGGAGCUUAACGCAUUCUGUCUAAAAUAAAACAUGCAGUUCUGAUGUUGAUGUACCAUUACUUGUGCAUCGUUGUGUAACUCCAUGAAUGUUGUGAACACUUCUCCUAGUAUUUAAUGCUUGGACUCAUUAUAUGUUAGUGUGUAUUUUAGAUUCCUGUACUCA